rfam:Rhodospirillum photometricum DSM 122 draft genome sequence
GGCGGGGCGCCCCCGGAUACAAAACCCGCAAGGGGAAGAAGGGGGGUCCGUCUCUUUCCGGAUUUCCAACGCUCCCGCCACCAGGGC